rnacentral:rRNA from 1 species
UACGUAGGGGGCGAGCGUUGUCCGGAAUCAUUGGGCGUAAAGCGCGUGUAGGCGGCCCGGUAAGUCCGCUGUGAAAGUCCAGGGCUCAACCCUGGGAUGCCGGUGGAUACUGUCGGGCUCGAGUCCGGAAGAGGCGAGUGGAAUUCCUGGUGUAGCGGUGAAAUGCGCAGAUAUCAAGGAGGAACACCAAUGGCGAAGGCAGCUCGCUGGGACGUGACUGACGCUGAGACGCGAAAGCGUGGGGAGCAAAC